CCCUGGGAAACUUUUAGAGAUGAGUUGGUGCCUUCGGGAACCGUGAGACAGGUGCUGCAUGGCUGUCGUCAGCUCGUGUUGUGAAAUGUUGGGUUAAGUCCCGCAACGAGCGCAACCCUUAUCCUUUGUUGCCAGCGGUCCGGCCGGGAACUCAAAGGAGACUGCCAGUGAUAAACUGGAGGAAGGGGGGGAUGACGUCAAGUCAUCAUGGCCCUUACGACCAGGGCUACACACGUGCUACAAUGGCGCAUACAAAGAGAAGCGACCUCGCGAGAGCAAGCGGACCUCAUAAAGUGCGUCGUAAUCCGGAUUGGAGUCUGCAACUCGACUCCAUGAAGUCGGAAUCGCUAGUAAUCGUGGAUCAGAAUGCCACGGUGAAUACGUUCCCGGGUCUUGUACACACCGA
rnacentral:rRNA from 1 species